GAGGGAAAGGCGAAAAGAACCCCGGCGAGGGGAGUGAAAAAGAACCUGAAACCGUGUACGUACAAGCAGUAGGAGCCCCAUCACUCAAGUGCCUCGCACUGAGUGAUGCAAGAACAUCACCGAAAAUAGCGACGAAUUUGCUAACAAGGUUGGUCGAUUUUUUCAAGCCGUCGCGCAGUGUAUCUAGAAGUACACGAGCAACGGAAGUUAAAAAAUCGGGCAAGAUUGAACGCAAAGGCAAGCGGGACAUUUGAGGAUGGGGUGACUGCGUACCUUUUGUAUAAUGGGUCAGCGACUUAUAUUCUGUAGCGAGGUUAACCGUAUAGGGGAGCCGUAGGGAAACCGAGUCUUAACUGGGCGAAUGAGUUGCAGGGUAUAGACCCGAAAC
rnacentral:rRNA from 1 species